UGCGUAAAAGACAAAUCAGCACCAGUAACGCUAGCAGAGGAGAAGCAAGAACUAAGUGGAAAUCAAAGCCCAUGGAAAUUUCCCAGCCGUGGCACAACUUGGAGGAAAACAGGAAGUAAAGUAAAGAUUUAUCUUAAACAGAUGAGGAACAAAUGUGCGCUUACGUAAGAUGAAUGCAACUGUGAUCUGGUCUCGUGGAGAGGAGAGCAAGUCAUGCUUACCAACGGGAAAAACAAAACUGCUCUGAUAGUGAAUGCAUUCAGGAAUAAAUAUGAUCCGUAAGGCAUGAAGAGAAUCUUUGAUCAGUAUAAAACAUAAAGAGUUUGAUCAACUAGGAGAAUUUUCUUCAGCAGUUCAGAAUAUCACUUCAAGCUCUGCCUACCAAGCAUAUCCUUAAUACUUCCUCGGAGCUCUUCUGCACUCAGCACUCCGUGUGAUGGAGCCGGUGGUGAGCACAGGAUCGCGCACGGCUCAGACAGCGCCUGCCGCUGCCUCCUGCUCGCCCGGCGCGCUCCCGGCUCCCGGCACUCAGCCUCUCUCCAUCCACCCACAGCAGCGACUGCGUUGGGAGAAAUCUCGUGAAUCCACCAAAAGUAAAAGUCGGUUUGGCCGCAGGCUGUGGUAGAGCCCAGGUUUGCAUGUCCUUGGUGUACCCGAUGCUCCCUCUACCCAAACACCAGCAACACGCAAAGCACUGCAACUGCUCCAAGCAAAAAGUAAUUACUUUUCUUACUUGCCUUUCUGUAACUAGAAAAAAGGUUCAAACCCUGGCUUGCAAUGUGUCUCCUGCCCCUUGCAGAGAAACACACACCAACACAGCAAAGCUCAGACAAGUUUUAUGAGCUCUUGUGUCCUGGAGCCGCCAUCCGAGCUGUGUCCCGCAGCAAAUGGAGCAAAGGACCGUGGGCAGCAUGUCUGGGCCACAGAGCCCCAACAUUUUCUUCUACCCCUAAGAGGAAGAAGCUGUGUGAACUGAAUAGUGACAAAAAUAGAAAUACAACAUAGCGUUUGUUCUCCACUUUCCUCCUGUUUGGUACAGGCUCCCUUCUGUACAGAGUUCAAGAUCUGAAUUUCUCGUCUCACUCUCUCUCUAACACUGUAUGAUACGGCUAAAACGUAGUACAGUCAGACCUGCCUAUUCACCACGCAACAAGGCCAUCAUUUUACCAUUUUACCUUAAACAAAAGGAUGCUCAGGCUCCAACCAUGAAAGAGAAAAUUAAUUUCUCUGUUUUCUGUCAUGGGUGAGCUAUGUAUCUGCAACUGUGUGGGAGGCUUCCACUUCCCCGAGGGCCCCAAAGGACUAACCAAGCUAACUUUGGCAUAGUCUCUCCAACCUCCCAACCAAACAUGCAGAAGCCAAAUAAUUUUGGCUUUUUAUUUCAGUUUGUCACUGGAGAGCUACCAGUUACUGCAUUACACUGAGCUAAGUACCCAAGAUUUUGCAGAGAAACAAUUGUUGUCAAAAAUCAUUAGCAGGACAGAGCCUAUAUUGUGUAUAAGGAUGGACUGAUACAUAAAAGAGCACAAAAUUCUCAUUUGUACAGAGGUCACUGCACCAUCCAGCCUUUCUCCCCUACAGACCUCAAAACUCCAGAUACUCUUCUCAUGUUUGAUACAAAAUGAGAAGCUGAGGGUCAGACAAGCAAAGCAAAGAGUCUUGUGCAAGACCCUCCUGCAGAAACCAGAUCCUCCAAGUGCCAGCAGACGACUAGGUCCAUCACGCUUCGCUUCAGCCCCUUGUUGGUGUCCCACACAAAGCUCAUGUAGGAGGUGGUGGUGCCUCAUCCUCGUGUCAGCCAGAGGUGAAUAUUCCCUUAGAGGACUGCAAGUUUUGCUCUUCAAGCUUGUUUCAACACCAAAUCCAGAGAAUCUUCCAUAAUUAUGCCAGCGAGGAUAGCAGGCAUGCGGUUACUGCAAGAUAAUCGCUCCCCAAGGCUAAGUGUUUCUAAUUCCUCGGAGGUGUGAUUUCCCAAUAAAGCACACACACCCUUGAACUUGCUUUACUGCCACUAUUAACAUUCUUUAAUGUGUGGCAAAGGGUGAUGUGCCUCUCUGAGCUGGAAAGAAGAUGUAAUUGCCUGUUUCAGACUACUCUGUGGUUACAGAAGAAAUGGGAAUUGCUUUGAUAUGGUGUGGUGUUUCAUUGCUCUAAUAAAGCAAACUCUUCCACCUCCCUUA